GGGGCUAUGGCGCAGCUGGUAGCGCAUCUGCUUUGCAAGCAGAGGGUCGCCGGUUCGAAUCCGGCUAGCUCCACCA
rnacentral:tRNA from 1 species